GAUGAACGCUGGCGGCGUGCCUAAUACAUGCAAGUCGAGCGAACGGACGAGAAGCUUGCUUCUCUGAUGUUAGCGGCGGACGGGUGAGUAACACGUGGAUAACCUACCUAUAAGACUGGGAUAACUUCGGGAAACCGGAGCUAAUACCGGAUGAUAUUUUGAACCGCAUGGUUCAAAAGUGAAAGACGGUCUUGCUGCCACUUAUAGAUGGAUCCGCGCUGCAUUAGCUAGUUGGUAAGGUAACGGCUUACCAAGGCAACGAUGCAUAGCCGACCUGAGAGGGUGAUCGGCCACACUGGAACUGAGACACGGUCCAGACUCCUAUGGGAGGCAGCAGUAGGGAAUCUUCCGCAAUGGGCGAAAGCCUGACGGAGCAACGCCGCGUGAGUGAUGAAGGUCUUCGGAUCGUAAAACUCUGUUAUUAGGGAAGAACAUAUGUGUAAGUAACUGUGCACAUCUUGACGGUACCUAAUCAGAAAGCCACGGCUAACUACGUG
rnacentral:rRNA from 1 species